rnacentral:rRNA from 1 species
UGGGGAAUAUUGGACAAUGGGCGCAAGCCUGAUCCAGCCAUACCGCGUGGGUGAAGAAGGCCUUCGGGUUGUAAAGCCCUUUUGUUGGGAAAGAAAUCCAGCUGGCUAAUACCCGGUUGGGAUGACGGUACCCAAAGAAUAAGCACCGGCUAACUUCGUGCCAGCAGCCGCGGUAAUACGAAGGGUGCAAGCGUUACUCGGAAUUACUGGGCGUAAAGCGUGCGUAGGUGGUCGUUUAAGUCCGUUGUGAAAGCCCUGGGCUCAACCUGGGAACUGCAGUGGAUACUGGGCGACUAGAGUGUGGUAGAGGGUAGCGGAAUUCCUGGUGUAGCAGUGAAAUGCGUAGAGAUCAGGAGGAACAUCCAUGGCGAAGGCAGCUACCUGGACCAACACUGACACUGAGGCACGAAAGCGUGGGGAGCAAACAGGAUUAGAUACCCUGGUAGUCCACGCCCUAAACGAUGCGAACUGGAUGUUGGGUGCAAUUUGGCACGCAGUAUCGAAGCUAACGCGUUAAGUUCGCCGCCUGGGAGUACGGUCGCAAGACUGAAACUCAAAUGAAUUGAC